rnacentral:rRNA from 1 species
AUGAACGCUGGCGGCGUGCCUAAUACAUGCAAGUCGAGCGAACAGACGAGGAGCUUGCUCCUCUGACGUUAGCGGCGGACGGGUGAGUAACACGUGGAUAACCUACCUAUAAGACUGGGAUAACUUCGGGAAACCGGAGCUAAUACCGGAUAAUAUAUUGAACCGCAUGGUUCAAUAGUGAAAGACGGUUUUGCUGUCACUUAUAGAUGGAUCCGCGCCGCAUUAGCUAGUUGGUAAGGUAACGGCUUACCAAGGCAACGAUGCGUAGCCGACCUGAUAGGGUGAUCGGCCACACUGGAACUGAGACACGGUCCAGACUCCUACGGGAGGCAGCAGUAGGGAAUCUUCCGCAAUGGGCGAAAGCCUGACGGAGCAACGCCGCGUGAGUGAUGAAGGUCUUCGGAUCGUAAAACUCUGUUAUUAGGGAAGAACAAAUGUGUAAGUAACUAUGCACGUCUUGACGGUACCUAAUCAGAAAGCCACGGCUAACUACGUG